CUCGGCUUCUAGGAGUCAGUGUUUCCUGUUUGUUACAUAAUAGCUAGAAAAGCAACAUGCAGAGUUUUAGACUUUACAUCAGAUGGCUUGCAUGGUGCAGUCUUAAAGAUCCUUGUGGGUGAGACGCUCUGAGAAUUAGCCACUCCGCCUUGUCAAGCUUGCUUGUUUUGAUUUUUACUUUUCGUGUGGUUUGCAGUUCUUGGUGGCUCAGAAAGGCGGUACAGCUGUUGUGAAGGUGUCCUUGGAUGCCCCGGGUGUCAGGUCACCAAGUGCUAUACAGCCAAAGGUUUGGAACUUACUCAAGUGACAGUGGUUGAUCCCAACCCCCAGGUGGUCUAUGAUACAUUUGUGAAACCAGAUGAAGAAGUCAUUGACUAUAACACUAGGAUAGGUUUUCUGGUGCGGUUGAAGAUGACUUGAAGGACACGAAAACCUCAAUCCGUGAUGUGCACACCACCUUGUUGAACCUGUUCAGUGCUGACACUGUACUAAUUGGACAUAGCUUUGAACAUAGUCUCUAUGCACUUAAGUUAAUUCAUACUUCAGUUGUGGACACGACAGUUAUGUUUCCUCAUCGGCUAGGCUUGCCUCACGGAAGAUCCCUUAAAAGUCUAGUGGCUGACUACCUAUGGAGAAUCAUUCAGGAUGAUGGCAGUGUCCUAUGGCUCUUCUAAACACACUGAAAUCUAAUCUAUAUACCCAGUACUGGAAUCGUCUAAUUCCUUUAAGGGGUUGGUUCUCUCCUUCUUAACUGCUUUUUGAUAAUGUGGAAACUGGCCCGUGGAAAUGACAUGACUUUAUUCAACUUGACUAUUGACCUUUGAAGAGAAUUUCAGAGGAAAGAUGUCCAAAGCAAGGUCCUCAGGACGAACCUGUUUUUGGCUCAAGUAGUCCAUUCCCCGGGCCACAUCUGCUGCAAAGUGGAGGAGCUGCUGGGAGGACAGCGUGGAGGCGGUGCUGUUAGCGAUGGCGAACGCGGGGUCCGUCUCCAGCACGCGGCUCUUGCGCAGGAAGUCAAGGAGGUUGCCGUGGGGGGCAUACUCGAUGGCCAGGUACAGGUAGCCUGUGCGGGAAGGGAGAGAGCACCACUUUAUCAGUAGCCCUAAGCUGCCGUGAUAUUUCUGAGAUGUGCUAUGAUUCUCGGGAACCGCUUAUAAACCUCUGUUUUAUCGUAAAGUUACACAUCUAGUGGUACCAACCUCGGUAAUGCUGGGGCCAGGAGGAAGACAGGUGACAUCAUUCCUGCAAUACUUAAAGUGCUUGCUCUCAGGGUUCCCCUCCCCACCCCUACCAAACAUAGAGGGCUUCCUGUCACCUACUCGGUGACACUAGUAGAAUGAAAUCAAAGCAUUUGCUUCCAGACGAUCUAAGACAGCUAAUCCACAUCACUUUUCAUUUUUUUAUUCAAUCAAUAUUGAAUAUCAAGAACCUAAUAUGAGCCAGGCAUGUUAUUCCAGUAGGAAUCUAGCUUUUCCUGAGGUUAUUUUUUUUUAAUCAAAAAACAACAAUUAAAUAUCUAUAGCAGAAGGACCCACACCAGGUAACUUUCUCUCUCUCCUGCCUUCUGCUUCUCCCUAAAAUCUGGAGUAAGUCAGUGUAUUGCUGAGUAGGUCACUAGUCAGCAGAGUCUAGGGUCAGGGAUUGCAUUUUUGCUUACAGAAACCAGAAAAGUCAACCUUUUAGGAAAAAAAAUAAAACAAAAUAGUUCCUAGAGGAAACUAUGGUGCAGUGUCUUAGUUUUAUUCCA